GGGGGUUUAGCUCAGCUGGUAGAGCGUCUCGUUCGCAAUGAGAAGGUCGGGGGUUCGAAUCCCCCAACCUCCACAA
rnacentral:tRNA from 1 species